rnacentral:rRNA from 1 species
GAUGAACGCUGGCGGCGUGCCUAAUACAUGCAAGUCGAGCGAACAGAUGAGGAGCUUGCUCCUCUGACGUUAGCGGCGGACGGGUGAGUAACACGUGGAUAACCUACCUAUAAGACUGGGAUAACUUCGGGAAACCGGAGCUAAUACCGGAUAAUAUAUUGAACCGCAUGGUUCAAUAGUGAAAGACGGUUUUGCUGUCGCUUAUAGAUGGAUCCGCGCCGCAUUAGCUAGUUGGUAAGGUAACGGCUUACCAAGGCGACGAUGCGUAGCCGACCUGAGAGGGUGAUCGGCCACACUGGAACUGAGACACGGUCCAGACUCCUACGGGAGGCAGCAGUAGGGAAUCUUCCGCAAUGGGCGAAAGCCUGACGGAGCAACGCCGCGUGAGUGAUGAAGGUCUUCGGAUCGUAAAACUCUGUUAUUAGGGAAGAACAAAUGUGUAAGUAACUAUGCACGUCUUGACGGUACCUAAUCAGAAAGCCACGGCUAACUACGUG